GAUCCCAUCAGAACUCCGAAGUUAAGCGUGCCUGGGCGAGAGCAGUACUAAGAUGGGUGACCUUUUGGGAAGUCCUCGUGUUGCACCCUUUUUCUUUUCUUUUUCUUUUUUUUUUUUUUUCACUCGAACUGCUCGCAACAAUUUCUUUUACCUUCAGCAAUCAAUCAGUUUGCAGCUGUGUAGAUCACAAAAAAUUACGCGAAAUGAAAAAAAAGAUCACGAAAAAAGACCAAACGGGUGAAAAGAUAUGGCCUCCCNAAGGAAUAGGAUGAAUAUGAAUAAAUUGUGGGCGAAAAGCAUAGCGGGUGCGAUCAUACCAGCACUAAAGCACCGA
rnacentral:rRNA from 1 species